rnacentral:misc_RNA from 1 species
AACUGAUACUACCUGCGGGAACCUGCGGAGGGAUCAUUAAUGAAUAACUUGGACAGGUUGCUGCUGGCUCUCCGGGGCAUGUGCACGCCUGUCGUUAGUUUUCAAACCCCUGUGCACCAUUUGUAGACUGGAAACAUCUCUCGAGGAAAUAAACUCGGAUUUUGAGGACUGCUGUGCGUCAAAGCCAGCUGUUUUCGUGUUUCUAGUCUAUGUUUUUAUUUUACAUACCCCAAAUGCAAG